rnacentral:lncRNA from 1 species
CAGACAUGGAGCUCAUGCACCAUUUCCUCUUGGGGAGCUCAGCUCUGCCAGCCCUGCCCACACGGAGGGAACAGGGAGCAGGUGCUGGCUGAAGGUGUGGCAGGAGCUCCUGAGAGCUCCUGAGGAGUUGAUUCCGUGCAUGAAGUUAACUGCUGGGACUGGCACUCUUACAGAUAUCCAGAGGUCCCCGUGUCCUCCUGACCCUGGGCUUCAGUGCAGCCUGACACGAAGGGAGGGUAGGGCAGGAACGGUGCAGGGCCAAGGCUGUCAGAGCACAAGCACUUGGAGCUGCAAUCAUGUGCAUAAAAGGCUUCAGAGGCUGAAUUGCACUGCAUUGCUCAAAAUACAUUUAGAUCCUCUGGGUACAGCAGGAUUUUCAAGGUCUACAACCACGUGUAGUGAAAGAUGUGAUAAAUGCUGAAGUGGUUUCCUAAGUGAAAUGAGGAAAACGAAAAUGAUACCAGUGCUGAUGAAGAAUUUCUUAUGCAUUCAUUCUAUGAUCUGACACUCCAGAUGGGAACAGAGAGAAUAGAAGGUUGGACAAU